rnacentral:rRNA from 1 species
CGGCGGACGGGUGAGUAACACGUGGGUAACCUACCUAUAAGACUGGGACAACUUCGGGAAACCGGAGCUAAUACCGGAUAAGAUAUCGAAACACAUGGUUCGAUAGUGAAAGAUGGUUUUGCUAUCACUUAUAGAUGGACCCGCGCCGUAUUAGCUAGUUGGUGAGGUAACGGCUCACCAAGGCAACGAUACGUAGCCGACCUGAGAGGGUGAUCGGCCACACUGGAACUGAGACACGGUCCAGACUCCUACGGGAGGCAGCAGCU